rnacentral:lncRNA from 1 species
AUAUAUAUAUUACAUCCAAGUUCGCAGUCAUUUGUACCAUUUCCCAGGAGCCACAGGUGUUUCCAAAGCAAGGCAGGGCACGGGGGUGCAGGAAGGGGGUUGGGUAAGGAAGCAGCCAGGGGCGGCCUCACAGAAGCUGCAGGAGCUUCAGCGAUUGUAAAAGGGCUACGGGCUCUGCAGAUGCCAGAUACUGGCAGCAAAGCCAGUCCUCCAGCUCCACCCCACGCCGGCGGUCCACGGCCUUUUCCGCGAACUUCAUCAUCAUCAGGGCCCGCUUCAUGUCGAUCCAGUUGUUGAGCGUGGUGCACAGCACCUCCUCCGACGUGCCCGGCUGCUCUACCAGCUCCCGCCGGGGCCCCCACAGCAGGCACUGCAGCACUCGCUUGGCCUCGUUGAUGCGAAUGCGCUUGAUAGGGUCGGCCUCCAGCAGCAGGUGGGCAAGCCGCUGCAGGCCUGGCGAGUAGAGGGACAGGGCGGGCAGUGGGGGUAGGUCCUCCUGUCGGUAGUCCUGCUCCCGCAGCUGGGCCCUCACUUCGAAAGGGUUGGGCUGAUGGAGCAGCUCAUAAAUGAGGAUGCCUGUUUGGAAUUCAUCAAACUUGCGGUACUGGGAGGCAGACACGAUCUCGGGGGCCAGGCGGGCCUGGCUCUUUUUCUGUUGCAGGUUGGUGGUGCUGCCUGGCUUCUGCUUGGCCUUCAAGAAAUUGCUGAUGAUGAGUCGGGGCAAGUGUUUCUCACUGGGCCCUCCCUGACAGGCGGGGGCAGCUGGCGGGGUCGGGGUGACGCUGGCUGGGAGGGCGGCAGAGGGACAAGAGGAAGGGGUAGCAGCAGGGGCAGGGGAUAUGGUGGUGGGAGGGGCGCUGGAAGCGGCGGCGGAGGAGAUGGGAGGGGCAGAGGGAGCGGGGGAGGGGCCAGGGGAGGCCUGGGGGCGCAAUGCACCAGCAGCAGGUUCUCCAGGCACAGGUCUCUGUGAAUGAUCCCGUGCUCCUUCAGGUGCUCCAGCCCGUUGCAGAGCUGUAAGAGCAGGAAGCACACGCGCCGCUCGUAAACCUCGGGCUCAGACUGAUGGCUGGUGGCUGAGUCCCGCACAAAGUCCGAGGCGGUCUGGUGGGGCACCUCUCGGGUGAUGACCACCACGCAGUCCUGCUCCUGGGAAGGGGGGUGUGAGGGCAGGGCAGGCAGAGGGACCUUGGGUGCAUCCGGAGAGGUGAGCAUGCUGGAGGGCACGGAGGCGACAAAGUGGCCACAGUCCUGCUGGAUGUUGAAGUGCACUGGCACGGAAGGACUGCAGUAGGAGGCUGCUUUGGGCUCAGGGGUUUUGCAGAUCUGUGGGGAAAAUGGGAAGUGAGGUCAAAAGCUGGAGUCAUCACUCUGUUCAACAAAUGGUGCUGGGGUAUUUAUCCACAUGCAAAAUAGUGAAUUAAAACCUUAGCUCACACUAGACAUACAAUUUAACUCAACAUGGAUCACAGAGACUAAGAUGUGAGAGCCCAAACAAACGUAUUUUCGAGGAAAACAUUAGAGAAUCUUUGAGACCUUGGGUUAGGUAAAGAUUUCUCAAAUACCACACCAAAAGCAUGGUCCAUAAAAGGAAAAAAAUGGAUAAAUGGACCUAUUGAAAUUCAAAACGUGUGUGCUUUGAAAGAUACUAAGAAAAUGGAAAGACAAGUAACAGAGUGUGAGGAAAUAUUUGCAAAACACCCAUCUGAUAAAAUGAUUUCUACCCAAGAACUCUUGUAACACAGUAGUGAGAUAAAUUACCUAAUCAAAAAGUGGGCAAACGAUAUCAAUAGGCAUUUCACCAAAGAAAUAUGUAAAUGGACAUAAACACAUGAAAAGAUGUUCAAUAUCAUGAGUCAUGAGGGAAAUGCAAAUCAAAACCACAAUGACAGACCAACCUGAUGCCCACCAGAAUGGCUAUAAUAAAAUGACACACAGUAAUAAGUGUCUCUGAGGAUGCUGAGAACUGGGAACUCUCAUAUAUUGUUGGUGGCAUAUAAAACGGUACCAUCACUUUGCGAUUAGGACAUUUCUUUAAAAGUCAAACCUCAAAUUAUCAUCCACCCCCAAGAAUGAGUUUCCUACAGCACAUGCAGUGAGGGCCCCUGGAAUUGGUAGGAAGACAUCUCCCUGCCCACAGCAUGGGCUGGACAAAUUCUCAUGGAGCCAGAUAAGAGCCUACGCAGGCAGUCAGCCUCAUCACCCAGCCCUCACACCUGAAUUGGCAGCUACCUGACAGCAGAUGUAUCUGACCGCUGGGAUGUUCCCUUCUUGGAGAAUCUCAGGGGCAGAUGCAGGCCCUGUAAACCUCUAGGGCUUGGUCAAAUUCUCUUAGGCUGCCCUAGUUUCUAGAUCCAGGUUAAUAUAUCUACUGGCUGGCACCACCUGCAGAGCUGAUUUUAGUGGAAGCGCUAAGUGGAAGUCACGCACUCUACCUCCAAGGGUGAGUCAUAGUAGCUGAAAGAAAACAGAAAGCUCUCCAGGGAAUGGGGAACCCAAAGAGCCCCAGGCACCCUCUGAACUGAAGGUGGGAAAGAAACAAGCAGAUGAUCUCAAGCUCCUCUGAGGAAUUCCCACACUGUCUUUCCCACCCCAUCUACAUCUUUCUGUCCUAAUGACAGUGCUGGCUACCAUAGAAUCUUGAGCAACAGGAAUCCUUCCCUGGUGGCCACACAACUGGAAAGUGAGUCUUGAGCCAGACAUAAUGGCCCCCUGCCAAGCCUCGAUUUCCUUCUAAUUACACUGAAAGGGACCGAAGGUGGUCUGUGGGUGCCCCUCUCAAAAAAAUACUGUGCCAUCCCAGCCAUGCUUUAUACAAAGUGAGGAUCAGUGUGUAAUCCUGAGAAGAAAGGCAUCUAUAAAAUAUCAUCCUGCAAACAAUCCCCAAAUAACCCUUUAGGCGGCUGCAUGCCACACUCGAACGAUUACAACAGUGUUUAUGAAGCCCCACAAUGCUUACAGGUGACGUUUUUAUAAGUUCUAUGCAAGCACCUUUUCAAAGAGAUUUAUUUACAUUGCAGCUCUACAAGCCUUCUCAGCAUUAAACCCAGCAUAAAAGAGCUCAGCUUCUGAGAAAACUCUUUAAAAGACAGUUGGGGAGCUGGGGGUUAACACAUUAAUUUAGUGAAUUCUCUAUUAGAGAAAUAGAAUAGAAAUAAAAGGGAAGUACACUUUAUCCCAGACUUUGCUUCCUAUUAUACUAAAAAAAAAAAAAAUGAUGUCCAAAGGGUAUUGCUGCAGGUUCUUUCUUAUCCUAGCCCAUCCAGCUGUAUUUGGUUUUUAAAUAAAUGGCAGUCUUCUGGAAAAUUAUUACACUAAAGGAAACUUGGGAGGAGUCCUUGGAAAAACAGUUUUGUGUAUAAAUAUCAACCACUGUGUAUGGACCUAGCUGCUGUGCCAUCUAAGGAUACAGAUGUUCAAGUCAUGCCCUCCAUUAAGGGCUACUCAACUACAGCGCGCACCUACUGAACUCUCGCACGGUGCCUACAAAGCAUUUUUCAUGUAGUGUCUCAUAAAAUCUCACUGAACUUGAUGAGGUAGAUGCUAUUACACAGGAGGAAACUGAGACUUUGAGAAGUUAAACUAUUUGCCCAAGUUUACACAUCAGAGAAGUGUCCCAGAGGUCAAAUGCGUGGGCUUUGGAGUGAAAGGGAUCUUAGUUUAAAUAGGAACUCCACAGACAUUGUCAAGUUACUCCUGAUUCUCAUUAUCUGCCAUUGUUAUGUUCUAUUAAGUAGCCACAGACACUGAAUGUGUGAAUGCUGAACCAUACUGCCCCUGGGGAAACACAGUGUGAAGUACUUGCAAGCCUCUGGUCACAAGAUGUUCACAACUGGCCAACAGAAAACCUUGUUGUAUGCGUCUUUCCCCUUCAAGAUGCCUUAUUCAUAGAUAUUGUUGAUGCACUAACACUGACUCAUGGCCAACAACACUGUAAGUCACACUGACCUAACACCCCUCAAAGGGGUUCCCACUGUGGCUCAGCAGUUAACGAACUCCACUAGGAUCCAUGAGGAUGAGGGUUCCAUCCCUGGCCUCGCUCAUUGGGUUAAGGAUCCAGCAUUGCUGUAAGCUGUGUUGCAGGUUGCAGAUUCAGCUCAGAUCUGGUGUUGCUGUGGUUGUGGUGUAGGCUGGCAUCUGUAGCUCCAAUUAGACCCCUAGCCUGGGAACCUUCAUUUGCCACGGUGUGACCCUUAAAAAAAAAAAAAAAAAA